ACGCAAACAGAUCAGCUGCAAAGUGCUACAGCUUCUACUAUUACCACUGACAGUGGAGGCCCGCUUAUCUUUUCCAAACUUCUCGCAAGUGAUGUUUAAGUGCCUGCAAGCCAAUAUCAUACAAAGUCUGGAAGCCUGGCAACAACCGCUUCUCACAGUAAUGUAAGUUGAGUUACUAAACUACUGGACCUCACAUCAAACUGGCUGAAGAAUAUUUUGCUUUACCGAUUCGACGAGGGAGGAUGUGGAAAAUGUGGUUGUGUUCACCUCUGGCAGAAGGACAACGGCAAAGAGUUGCUCUAGUAAUAAAAAGCUGUACUUCUUCAUAAAAGUUACAUGCCUGUCAAGGAGUGCAAGGCAUUCCCCCACUUUCUUCUCUGUGAUACUGGGAGGAAUAUUGGUUGGAAAGCAGAAGUGGUAGCCUUGGUUAAAGGCAUGAAAAUGACCUUCAGAUGACUUCAUUAGCAAGUGAUGAUUAUGCUCAAAUGUCCUUUGAGAUUGUCAUUUGAUUCUGUGUGCCUGAUUACCUGCUGGCAGCUGGAACACAUUUCUGAUUUAAUUUCACUCAAAGGGAAUCCAGUAUGUGUGCUCUGAGACCACUAAGUGCUAUAAACCAAUGUGCAGUAAGCAAGGACAAUCAGAAGGUUUGCUUCAAAAAAUCACUAUUGAUCUGAACUAGAAUGCUAAUGUUAACCCCUGAAGACUUACUAUCAAGGUCCUGGAGUAACUCUCUUCGGAG
rnacentral:lncRNA from 1 species